CAGAAAAGUUACAAAGCACAGUAACUGAUAUACAACUCUUACAUAUGACCUUAUAAAUAUAUUGCAGUCAAACAAUUACCUGUCUAUCUGCUCCGGGCUACUGUGAAAAAAGAUAAAUAUCUGUUCUUUGUUUCAUCACAUCUGUCUGCUCCUGUUUGAGUCAGCACCCUCUCUAUUUAGCUGGUAUCAAAAUGCUCUUCCUACCAUUUGAUACUGCAGCACCAACAGGCAGGCAAAGCUCUGAGUGCAUGUUAAAGACAGGAACUAGCAAGCUGAAGCCAGAUAAUAUUCUUACCUGGAGGUGACAGACGCCAUAACAGAGCCCAAAGCAUGAAGUGCACCGUGCCUCUCCAGUCAGGACUUACAUGGCCGUGUCAAACCAACGAGAUGAGCGUCAGGGGGAGCUGAGGCCCUCUAUCACGGCUGUCUGCAAUAUGCGCCGCUGUCUGCUCUACAGUUGUGGCUGAGAAUGCCUGUCUGGACGGACACAUUCAGCUCUGGAUCGCGUCGAGCCAACCAUCUGUACAACUGGUCCUCUUGUUCCUCCGUCUCAUCUAUCUCUACCCCUGCAGCUCCUGGCUAUCUUCACCCUCUAUGGCUCCUUCAUGAUGGCCCCCUAAUCUCUGCCAGUGUGGUUCCAUGUUGGAGAAAAAGGACCACUGAGGGGGUUUCGGCAUCAAGGCAUCAGUGAAGCUAACAAUGAAUAAUGAGGGCAGUAGCAACAAUGAAAAAUGAUUGAUUCUAAGUGAACGCUUUAACAAUAUGUAAUACGAGUGUCAAUAAGAUGAAACAGCGGAGUGAAGUGGAUGUGUAGCUCCUCUCUGAGAACAUAAGCAAGCGGUGCCAGCCCCCUGUGAAGUCCAGCCUGUACCAGGGCUUAUUAAACUAGGCUCCUAUUCACUCUCCCCAACGGUCGCUCCACUGUCAACUUAAGCCCAAGCUCCCUCGACCGCUCAGCGCUUCGACUAUUGUUGCAGAAUUUCGCCCAAAAACUGGGUAUCGCUGAACAGCCAAUAUGCAGCGGGACAGAGAUAAAGGCCCCGCCUAUCCUCAUAUCUAAUGCAUAUCUGUCUUUUGAUGCAUUGCAAUUUACCCCUGUGGAUGGUUCUUAAAAAGAUGUCUUUUUUUUUCUUCUUUUUUUUUUUUCAUUUAUUCAUUAUCCAUGCCUUACAUAACAGAUAUUUUGACAGUUCUGAUGAGCCAGUUUCAGAGAGACCACGGAGACUUUAAUGGUCUCCUGCGAGCUGGUGAGCUCGGGAGGUAACCACAUGACUGACGAGAUGAUUAUCUCAUACGAAGAGUCAGACCCCCCCAAAAAAAAAACAAACUAGAGAAAGUUUUUAGACGUGGCCUGCAGUGGUUUGUUGCGGCCUGUCGCAACGCAAAAAGGAGAAAUAAAUAAUAUUUUAGAAGACCACAUGUUUCAAAAUUCAUGCUUCCAAGGUUUUUUUUUUUUUUGUGAGUUAGGUUGUGUGGGGUGAGACGACCUUUGAAGAUCUUUCAACUCCUGCAAGCUCCAGGCCUAUGAGAUGCAAUGCCAUCCUUUUAAGGGAAUGACCAUAACUUUGGUCCCCGUGCUUCUAAUCCCUCCUCCAGACCCUUGUCAUCAGAGAUCAACCAGGCUGAGCCUUAAUGUCCUCAACUCGCUGGCAAGGGCAGCUGGGCGCUUUCAUUAUGCAUUGCAAGGCGGCUGUGUAAUCAAGCCUGUGAACUCGACAUCUGAAGGAAGGAUUCUGUUUCUGAUCACACCCCUAUUGAAGUCCAUCCAUCGCUGAACACGGAUGUGUUGACACACUUGAGCCUGCUCUCCUUGCCUGCACAGUGAGACCGCCGAGCCAUUAGUGAGUCCCAGCACUGAUAAUGAAGCCACAGAGGUGGUCUGAGCCAGUGUGGCACAGGAGCUGGAGCACAGGAGGAAGGUAGAUUAGGAUAAUUACCUGGCCACGGGGGGAUACGACGAGAAAGAUGUCUCACUUCCUGCGGGCCCCCCCCCACCCCCCCGAUCGGAGGGAGCGCAAUAUAAUCAGGUGUCCUCAGCGUCCCUCUCUCUCGUAUGUAUGUAUGUAUUUGUUGUGUUUUUUUUCUGCCUCUGUGGUUUGGGUCUCACACAUACUGUACCUAAAUCCUAAAUAUCCACACUCAAGGAGACUUUGAAGAGCCUAUGAGGUCAGGUUUUAAAUUAUGGUCUGCGCCCACACCAGGCUUUCUCUCCCCACUCCUGUAAAUCCAUUUUCCACACAAUGCAUUUCAAAUCAAAGCAGCGUCACCAUAACACGCCUUAGGAAACAUUAAGCCAUAGUGCAUUACUUUCAUGUAUGAUAGCAUAGCCCCUGUAUGCUUUGAUGUGCUCACUUUUUUUAAUGCUUUAUUAAUAAUAACACAUUGGCUCCUUCUCACACCAACAUCAGCUUCUGGUGCUCCUUUUCUCUCCUCCCGAACUACAUCCCUCACUCCCUCCAUGCCUCGGCUCCUUCAUCCCUCCCCAGCCCCUGAGCCUCGUCUCGGGAUUGGCCAGCUCGCGUUUGGGAGGUGGUGGUGGUGGUGGUGGUGGGUGGGUGGGGGGGAUUAGGGGGACUGACACGGGCCUCGAGAUGAAGAGAGUGACAAAGACCUAUCGGAGGGCAGGGAGAGCAGGGCGCUGCACCAUCAUUGGCUGCUCUGGAAAUCAGACACGUCUUCAUUUCUUCCAACCAUCCUCUCCAAGUGCCCAGCUUUCAUUUCCACGCCCGGGGAGGGAAACAGGGAGAGGGAGAGAGAGAGAGAGAGAGAGAGAUGAGAGAGAGAGAGAGAGAUGAGAGGGAGAAAGACAGUGGGGGGGUCAGGAUUAGAGUUUCUGUUUGUGCAUUUAAACGUGUGUGCACAUGUGUGUUUGCUCGCAUGUUGCAUGCAGUAAACAUCUUAGAGAUACAGAGGGAUGGGCGUGGAGACACUGAUAGCACUCACCUCCUCCAAAAAAAGCUGGCCAACAUACAAAUGCUGGAGCGGAUUUGUCACUGAGCACGUUCCCUGUGAAUGGGACGCCUGAUUCAUGUUAAAACCUACUCAGGAGUCAGAUUUCUCACUGAUUUCUAUCAUUAUUUCAGCCUCAUCACGGGGUAUUUUUCAUUAGCGUUAUGGGAAAAAGGUAUCCCAGAGCACACAAUGGGCUGUUCAGUAUUUGCUGAUAGUUUCUUUUCCGACAAUUUCAAAGCAAUGUUGGCAAUUUACUGGAUCACUUAGCAGCUGCCCACAUUCAUAUGUGUGUGUGUGUGUGUGUGUGUGUGUGUGUGUGUGUGUGUGUGUGUGUGCAUGUGUGCGCAUAAAAACAUCUGCUGAUCUGAUUUUUCUGCGUUUGUGUUCUCCUUUUGUUUGUGUUCCUGUUUGAUAUUUCUUUCUGUUAGGUGGAGUAAUUGGAUCUUGAUAUGUGUUGCUGUAUUAUAAUUUCAGCCCACAGCUUCUGCAGCAGUUCCCCCCCGAGUCAGUAAAAAGCAAAUGUUUGGUUUGUAUUCUGUAAAAGAAAUAAAUAUCCUGAUACACUAACGUAACUCAUUUCCGUUCA